rnacentral:tRNA from 1 species
GCGGUGGUGACUCAGUGGUAGAAUUCCCAUCUUCCAAGUGGGAGGUCUGGGUUCAAUUCCCAACUGACACA